GGUUGAUUGGGCACUGCAAAUUGUGAUUGUGAGCGCAAAAGGUUGUUCUUCUAUGUAUGCCCUUUGAUUGGCUGGCAACCGGUUCAGGGUGUCCUCCGCCUACUGUCCGAAGACAGCUGGGAUUGGUUCCAGCACACCUGCGACCCUUGUGACGAUA